AGAAUAUAAGAAACCGUCUCUUAACUUUUAACUAAAAAAACUAAAAACUGGCUCUUAAACUAAGAUACUUAAGAGUCGGUUAUUGUUUUUUUAGUUAAAAGUUGAGAGAUGUUUUCUAAUAUUUU
rnacentral:pre_miRNA from 1 species